rnacentral:lncRNA from 1 species
AAAGUUGACAGUGGACUGAAUAAACAUAAUGGUGCAAGUCUUUGAUAUUAAUAAGAGUUCCUAAAUAAAAUAUACCUACAAAAUAUAUUGUAAAACUUUUUUACAUGUAAAAACUAUAGUGUUUUGGAUCUUCUUAUUAUCUAACUUUCAGACUUGAAGUAUUUUAACACCACUGGUGAUGGAUCAGCUAACGUUUUCGGUGCGCACAUGAGAUUCCCUGGUUUUAAAAAGAUUGUGUUGUUUCUUAGUCCUUAAUAUUCUAUGUAGGGUUUUUAUGUACUUUUGUUUGAUUUUUGUUAGUGUU